UGCUAUGGAGUUGACAUAAAAACAGCUACGUGAUAAUAUGAUAUAGGCCGUUAGUGGUGGAACCAUUAGGGGUUCAAGCAACAGUGACCCGUGCAAUCUCCAUCCAGGUCUCCUAGACCAGAAAGCGAAUUACAUACUAAACAGUAUUCCAGAAAUCAACAUUGCAGAUGACGGUGGUGUUUGUGUCGGUGACUUUAUUACCAGGAACUUGUACGGUAAUCGUGGCACUGUGUCAGUUUAGGAAGAGGGUCACACUAAGAAAAACCAGCUCAUAUCCUGACAGAAGAUGCCAUGUGGGUCUCGGAAUAAAUUUCCACAAUCCAGAUAGUCUACGCAAGAGACCAAAGCAUGGCAAACUUAGCUUCGGCAAACCAUGCAACAGUAAACAGCAGACCUGCAAUACUUGAAGGCACUAAAGCUCUACCAUCCUGGUGCUAAAGUAUUAAACCACCUAUAAAACACCACUCUGUAACUCUGGAAGCUGCGACUUUCCUCAAGUUGACAACAAAUUCUUGAAACUUCCUCCAGCCAGCAGAAAACCACUCAGUCUUAUCUCCACCUGGAGACAGGAAAAGGGUGCUGACAUGGGUGAGCUUUUUCCCCCUCGCUACAGACCUGGGCAGCUGACCUUCUGAUGAGUAAGCAAGGAGGGAGAACUACGAGAGGGAAGGGGGGCCAUGCUGUUGAAACGUUUCUAAUUGGCACAGUGAGGGUGACUUUGUGAUCGAACGGCAAACAGCAAAUAGUUUCACAGGCUUUUGUGCCCCGUUUUCUAAUUCGCUAAACUGGAAAUCAGAUGUUUGAAAUCAGAUGUUUGCAACAUUGUCUGCUAAUUGUUUUCUGGCUUUCAGGGAAAGACUCUGCUACAUGUAAGGUCGAAACCCCAGGCCAUUAAAAUUUGUUUUGCAAACCUUCAGUCCUUUUGGUUGGUAAGUUGUUUUCAAUCAGCUAAUUUAUAUUUUCUAAUCUUUCUUUAUGAAAUAUGUUAUCUUUGGUUAAAUUGGCUGCAUAUUACAAAUUGGUGCUUGCAAUCGCCUUUGGUUUGGAAUUACUUUCCUGCUGAGUGUCGCACAUCUCACUGCAUGCUGCGGGGGACUUGUUCAAGUGCUUGCGCUUGAUGCGUGUUCCGUUCAAAAGGCUCUCUGCAUAUUUUUUUCUAGAAGUUCGGAAGAAAGUGAACACAGAUCAUUGCCAUAAUGUCAAUGAGCAAGGUAUUUGUUUCUCAAUUCUCAUAUCCACCUACAUAUCCAUUACAUGGUCCGUGUACUUGUACACAAGAACAGCAGGCCAAAAUAUAUUUGGACUUGCACUGUACGCACAAUGCAGAUCAUGUACCUUUUCAAAUGAUAAGCAAUUCCAGAGUGUUACUUGGACCUGCAGUAACUCCAGAGUCAGAAUACAGGCCUAUGUAAUUCCUGGAUUUAAGGACUUGGGAAGAUUUUUUCAUACUUAGUGUUUUUAAUUUAUUGAACAUUUAAAAAAAUGUAUAAUUACGCUUAAAGGC